UGUGGUAUCGGUACAGACUAUAUGUACCCGCUCUCUUUGUCUUCGGCGGAAAGUGUGUCAAAAAUUCUUGAGCGUGUCCAGUAGCACUGAAAAAAAUGCCACGUCGCUUUACACGUGAUUGGAUAACGGAGCAACAAGAGCCGGAUUCUUCGCUUUGCCGACGGAGUCUAGCAAACAUCGCACUCACACAAUCUCUAACGAAAACUCGCAGACACAUAUCCGUACGGCAGUAUCUACAGAUACAGAAAGCAGAGGGAACGCUGUACUGCACUCAAUUUGGGUAUAUCCACGACGUCGACAGUAAAUGGAAACUCAAAUAAAAGGUGCUAAUUUCAUGAGGGUUCAAUUAGAUGUUGGCCUGGCUGCUGUGCGAUUUCUCUUCGAGUUUCUAGUUUCGUUUCUCUGCUAUGCACGACUUGCUAGGACAGAAAGAUGGCUGAACGCAUUGCACAGAGAUUAAAAAAAGGGCCGCCCGAGCAGGGACUUGAACCCUGGACCCUUGGAUUAAAAGUCCAAUGCUCUACCGACUGAGCUACCCGGGCAUUCCGCGCAGUCGUCGUCAAAGCUUCAUAUCUGGCAAGCAUGAGAGCAAACCAACAAUGUCAAGCUCGAAAAGCUUUCCGAGAGCUUUAGAAGCUGUCUAAUUUUGGCGUAGACUAUUUUCUGUAAGAUAUUAUUAUUUUACAAUUUAAAUAUUAAAACUGCAAAUUCUGUAGUAAGCAAAAUAUAAGGUUAAUGACAAUUCUGCAUUAUCUUUAAUAAUAUGACGCUGUUUUAGUUACAAGGCAAGGCGAUACUGGUAUCAUCCCUUUGAGUUAUACCUUCCAGCAGAUCGGGUGACUAUAUCCUACAGCUGCCAAUGAGCAAUACAUUAUCAUAUUACUAUUUCUAAAGCAAAUUCCAAUAAUAUGUUCAGUGCAAGAUAUGGUCGAACAAAUACAUUUAAUU